GAUGAAGAACGUGGCGAAAUGCGAUACGUAAUGUGAAUUGCAGAAUUCAGUGAAUCAUCGAGUCUUUGAACGCACAUUGCGCCCCCUGGUAUUCCGGGGGGCAUGCCUGUCCGAGCGUCAUUGCUGCCCUCAAGCACGGCUUGUGUGUUGGGCCUCCGUCCUCCUCCCGGGGGACGGGCCCGAAAGGCAGCGGCGGCACCGCGUCCGGUCCUCGAGCGUAUGGGGCUUCGUCACCCGCUCUUGUAGGCCCGGCCGGCGCUUGCCGACACAUCAAUCUUUUUUCCAGGUUGACCUCGGAUCAGGUAGGGAUACCCGCUGAACUUAAGCAUACAAUAAGCGGAGGA
rnacentral:misc_RNA from 1 species